AUUGAACGCUGGCGGCAUGCUUUACACAUGCAAGUCGAACGGCAGCGCGGGCUUCGGCCUGGCGGCGAGUGGCGAACGGGUGAGUAAUACAUCGGAACGUGCCCAGUAGUGGGGGAUAGCUCGGCGAAAGCCGGAUUAAUACCGCAUACGACCUGAGGGUGAAAGCGGGGGAUCUUCGGACCUCGCGCUAUUGGAGCGGCCGAUGGCAGAUUAGCUAGUUGGUGGGGUAAAGGCCUACCAAGGCGACGAUCUGCAGCUGGUCUGAGAGGACGACCAGCCACACUGGGACUGAGACACGGCCCAGACUCCGACGGGAGGCAGCAGUGGGGAAUUUUGGACAAUGGGCGAAAGCCUGAUCCAGCAAUGCCGCGUGUGUGAUGAAGGCCUUCGGGUUGUAAAGCACUUUUGGCGGGAACGAAAAGGACUGUGCCAAUACCACGGUUCGAUGACGGUACCCGCAGAAUAAGCACCGGCUAACUACGU
rnacentral:rRNA from 1 species